rnacentral:misc_RNA from 1 species
CUCUUUCCUCAUUAACCGCGGCAUUAACGUCGUCAGCCGUAACAAACACAGCGGGGGGAACGGGCAAGGCACCUGGCGGUGGUGGCCUCUUGCUGUGGUGGGCGAGACGAGCGCGGCGCGGGGCGGAGCGGAGGCAAGGCAAGAGGGGAAGGAAACCCCACCAAGGACCAAGCAGAAGCAGGCGAGCGUGGCAGUUCAGGUCCAGUCUCCACUCUCCACUCCAGUACACUCCACACCAUCACCGCCGCCGCCGCCGCCGUGACGAGGGGGCAGAGGGCAGUGAUAGAGCAGAGCAGAGAGGGCUAGGGCGGGGAGACGAGGCCGAGAGAUCCCCAGGACCCCGGUGGCGAGAUGGGCAUUCGCAGAGCUCGCCGGUUCCUCUUCCUGGCCGCCGCCGUCUUGCUGCUCCACGCGCCGCUGCCCGCGACGUCCGCCGACCUCUACGCGCUCAUCUACAAGGGCUGCGCCAACCAGAGCUUCCCGGGCGGGGUGGCGCCCCCGAGCGUCGCCGCGCUCUCCACCACGCUCUCGGCGCAGUCCGCCUCCGCCAAGUUCUACAAGACCUCCUCCUCGUCCUCGGCGGCCUCCUCCUCCACCUCCGUCUUCGGCCUCUUCCAGUGCCGCGGGGACCUCUCGGCCUCCGACUGCGCCGCCUGCGUCUCCCGCGCCAUGUCCUCCUGGCCCGGCGUCUGCGGCGCCUCCGUCGCCGCGCGGGUCCAGCUCGCCGGCUGCCUCGCGCUCUACGAGGUGUCCGGCUUCCCCCAGGUCUCCGGCGUCCAGAUGCUCUUCAAGACCUGCGGCACCGGCAGCGGCGGCGGCGGCGGCGACUUCGAGAUGCGCAGGGACACCGCCUUCUCCGCGCUCGAGGGCGGCGUCGCCACCAGCUCCGGCGGCUUCGUCGCCACCAGCUACCAGGCCGUCUACGCCAUGGCGCAGUGCGAGGGCGACCUCUCCACGGGGGACUGCAGCCAGUGCGUCACCCAGGCCGUGCAGCACGUCGAGGUCGAGUGCGGCGGCGCGCCCUCCGGCCAGGUCUACCUCGACAAGUGCUACAUCAGCUACAGCUACUACCCCCACGGCGUGCCCCACGGCGGCGGCACCGGAGGGCAGCAGACAGCAAAGACUGUAGCCAUUGUGCUCGGGGGAGCCGUAGGCCUGGGUUUCGUGGUCAUCUGCUUGCUUUUCGCCAGGAGCCUGGUCAAGAAGAAGGAUGGUGAUUACUGAUGGGAGGGAGAGCACGGAAGGAGAAUGUGGACAAAGACAUUGUGGGGGCAUGGUAUGGCAUUUUGAUGGUAGGGUUGUGUAUUUUGUUUCUUCAAGGUGGUGAGUGGAAUACAGAGGGGGUGUUUUUUGGCUCUUCUUCCUCUGGAUUGGUCUAAACGAACAAGCCCUGAGGGUGCCAUCCCCCCCAUGAUGGCAGAGAGAGGAAAAGAGGUGGCAAGCUGCUGUUCAGGAAAGAAGCUGUCCACUUCUGGGGCUAUUUUGAUUCUCAGCUGAAAUUGGUAGACGAGCUCGGGGCUGUCGUCUUAGCCUCUCCUGCUUAGGGUUCUAGGAGUACAUUGAUUCUCUUGUAUUUUUUUGACCCCCGCCAAAUGAAAAAUACCUGUUAGGUCUAGGCUAAACGUACUUAGUCUCCUGUUUAAGGUUGCAGGAGCGGGUUGGGUGUCUAUUUGGUUGGUCUGUUAUGGAAGACGAACUUCCAGAUGCUCUGGGACCAGAUUUUAA